CAGUAGCCGCGGUAAUACGAAGGGUGCAAGCGUUACUCGGAAUUACUGGGCGUAAAGCGUGCGUAGGUGGUGGUUUAAGUCCGUUGUGAAAGCCCUGGGCUCAACCUGGGAAUUGCAGUGGAUACUGGGUCACUAGAGUGUGGUAGAGGAUAGUGGAAUUUCCGGUGUAGCAGUGAAAUGCGUAGAGAUCGGAAGGAACAUCUGUGGCGAAGGCGACUAUCUGGGCCAACACUGACACUGAGGCACGAAAGCGUGGGGAGCAAACAGGAUUAGAUACCCCUGUAGUCCCUGUCUCUUAACA
rnacentral:rRNA from 1 species